CCCUUAGAUGUUCUGGGCCGCACGCGCGCUACACUGAUGCAUUCAACGAGUCUAAAACCUGGUCUGAUAGGGCUGGGUAAUCUUUUGAAUGUGCAUCGUGAUUGGGAUAGAUGAUUGCAAUUCUUCAUCUUCAACGAGGAAUGCCUAGUAAACGCAAGUCAUCAGCUUGCAUUGAUUACGUCCCUGCCCUUUGUACACACCGCCCGUCGCUCCUACCGAUUGAAUGUUCCGAUGAAUACCAUGGACUGAGAGUAUGAAUGGGUUCGCCUAUUUCUGCUUCUCGGGAAGUGAAGUAAAUCUUAACAUUUAGAGGAAGGAGAAGUCGUAACA
rnacentral:rRNA from 1 species